AAUAUGCAUGGCUGCGCGUCGCGCUGCGUUCAUUGGCCGGGGCGCGUCGUGCGUGUCAACGUGUGGGCUUCACUUUUGUGAUGCUGGAUCGCCCUCGCCCGGGGGCCGCCAGUGGGUUGAUGCGAGAUCGACGAGUAGCUAGCUAGGGGGCGGAUUUUUUUUUUGGAGGGGCCGCCACCGCCACUUGCCUGCCUACGCCGGCCGCUCUCAGCCGCCCGCGCCCGCGCCCUUCAGAUUCUCCUCCUGGCUAGCUAGCUACCCUCUCUUUCGCGGUCCGCGCCCUCGCAGUUCAUCACAAAACCUGCAGGCGAUGGCAGGGCAUAGUACCUAGUACGGCGACAUAGAUUGGGUCCUCUUUAAUUUGAGAAGUCCGCCAUCAAGGACGGAGACAUUUCGCGGCACAUAUACAUCGAGAUUCCAACGAAGGGUCGCCCAACGCAGGGACGGUCGACAUCGCCUUCGCCUCUCCGAGAUCCAGCGAGGUGAGCCCCUGUUCCUCCCCGCAGGUCCAUGGUAUUGCAGGCACACCAAAGGUGCUUUACGCCCAUGGAGGAAGAAGCCAUGAUCCGGCAGAUCCAUGACAUGGAGACACCACGAGUCCAUGACCCCCCGCAAGAUCUGUCUUCAAUGUUCCCCAUUCAACAUUUGAUUGCUACAAGGUAAUAUUGCUACACAGAUUGAUGUGGCCGGUUUUCAUCCAAACUUGGUAGUACAUUCUGCUCCAUCUAUGAUGAAAUACUGCUUUAUUGGGCAGCUGCAUUUUUCACCUUUGUGAAUUUACAUUUGGCAAGUACUCCUGCAUAGAAAUCUGAGCAAUUUUGGUUCUAAUGUUUCAGGUGCUAUGGAAAACAGUGGACAGUGCCUUCACCUGUGGAGACAAAUCGUCUUCGAUGGAAGAAGAUGGAGGAACAAUUUUGCAAUUUGGGUUUGCUUUAUUUUUCAAGGCCUUCACAGUGUACCUUAAGAUUUGCUGACAUUGUAUGAACAACUUCAAUGAUGAUUAUAUAUGUAUUAAAUAGUUGAGUGUAACAUAUAAUGUUGGCUGGUGUGUGGAUGCAUAUAGUUAAAUUGAAAGGAUCGACAAAUGAAUAAUUUGAAUAGUUCAGUGAGCUUUAUUGAUA